GGGAACGUAGCUCAGCCUGAUAAGGGAGGCGAGUCCGACCCUUCGGCUAAGGAGAGCACUACGCUGAAGACGUAGGUGUCCCGGAUUCAAAUUCCGGCGUUCCCACCA
rnacentral:tRNA from 1 species